GCCGGGCGUGGUGGCACAUGCCUAUAAUCCCAGCUACUCGGGAGGCUGAGGCAGGAGAAUCGCUUGAACCCAGGAGGCAGAGGUUGCAGUGAGCCAAGAUCGUGCCACUGCACUCCAGCCUGGGUGACAGAGUGAGAUUCUGUCUCAA
rnacentral:SRP_RNA from 1 species